rnacentral:rRNA from 1 species
ACGGGAGGCAGCAGUAGGGAAUCUUCCACAAUGGACGCAAGUCUGAUGGAGCAACGCCGCGUGAGUGAAGAAGGUUUUCGGAUCGUAAAGCUCUGUUGUUGGUGAAGAAGGAUGUGAGUAGCAACUGGCUCAUAUUUGACGGUAAUCAACCAGAAAGUCACGGCUAACUACGUGCCAGCAGCCGCGGUAAUACGUAGGUGGCAAGCGUUGUCCGGAUUUAUUGGGCGUAAAGCGAGCGCAGGCGGAAUGAUAAGUCUGAUGUGAAAGCCCACGGCUCAACCGUGGAACUGCAUCGGAAACUGUCAUUCUUGAGUGCAGAAGAGGAGAGUGGAACUCCAUGUGUAGCGGUGGAAUGCGUAGAUAUAUGGAAGAACACCAGUGGCGAAGGCGGCUCUCUGGUCUGCAACUGACGCUGAGGCUCGAAAGCAUGGGUAGCGAACAGGAUUAGAUACCCUGGUA